UAAGUGGCCUAAAUGGUUAGAGUGUCUGCCUUGGAUGCAGGAGGUUGCAGGUUCAAACCCCAUCUGUUCAU